UGGCGGACGGGUGAGUAACGCGUGGGUAACCUGCCCUGUACAGGGGGAGUAACAGUCAGAAAUGACUGCUAAUACCGUAUAAGACCACAGCACCGCAUGGUGCAGGGGUAAAAACUACCGGUGGUACAGGAUGGACCCGCGUCUGAUUAGCUGGUUGGUGAGGUAACGGCUCACCAAGGCGACGAUCAGUAGCCGGCUUGAGAGGGUGAACGGCCACAUUGGGACUGAGACACGGCCCAGACUCCUACGGGAGGCAGCAUG
rnacentral:rRNA from 1 species